rnacentral:lncRNA from 1 species
CUACAACAGAUAGAGGCCUUAUAUCCAAAAUAUACAAAGAACUCAAGAAGUUAGACCGCAGGGAGACAAAUAACCCUAUUUAAAAAUGGGGUUCAGAGCUAAACAAACAAUUCACAGCUGAGGAAUGCCGAAUGGCUGAGAAACACCUAAAGAAAUGUUCAACAUCUUUAGUCAUAAGGGAAAUGCAAAUCAAAACAACCCUGAGAUUUCACCUCACACCAGUGAGAAUGGCUAAGAUCAAAAACUCAGGUGACAGCAGAUGCUGGCGAGGAUGCGGAGAAAGAGGAACACUCCUCCAUUGUUGGUGGGAUUGCAGACUGGUACAACCAUUCUGGAAAUCAGUCUGGAGGUUCCUCAGAAAAUUGGACAUUGAACUGCC